rnacentral:rRNA from 1 species
UAGGGAAUAUUGCACAAUGGGCGAAAGCCUGAUGCAGCAACGCCGCGUGCGCGAUGAAGGCCUUCGGGUUGUAAAGCGCUUUUCGGGGAGACGAGGAAGGACGGUAUCCCCGGAAUAAGGCUCGGCUAACUACGUGCCAGCAGCCGCGGUAAAACGUAGGAGCCAAGCGUUAUCCGAAUUCACUGGGCGUAAAGCGCGUGCAGGCGGCCUGGUAAGUUGGAUGUGAAAUCUCCCGGCUCAACUGGGAGAGGUCGUUCAAGACUGUCAGGCUCGAGGGCGACAGAGGGAGGUGGAAUUCCGGGUGUAGUGGUGAAAUGCGUAGAUAUCCGGAGGAACACCAGAGGCGAAGGCGACCUCCUGGGUCGCACCUGACGCUGAGAUGCGAAAGCUAGGGGAGCGA